GCUGAUAAGGACUGCUUACUCUCAGAAUGAGUUGCCCUGCUCAACUCCUGGGGCUGCUCAUGCUCUGGAUCCCAGGAUCCGGUGGGGUUGCUCUAUUGACCCAAACUCCACUCCCCCUGCCUGUCACCCUUGGAGAUCAGGCCUCCAUCUCCUGCAGGUCUAGUGAGAGCCUCCUGUACAGUAAUGGAAAAACAUAUUUGUGUUGGUUCGUGCAGAAGCGAGGCCAGUCUCCACAGCAACUGAUCUAUUGUGUUUCCAACCGAGAAAGCGGAGUCCCAGACAAAUCCAGUGGUAGUAGGUCAAUCACAGAUUUCACACUGACAAUCAGCAGGGUGAAAAACCAGAAUGGUAGACAUUUUGAUUCACAUGGCCUCCAAAGAGUAACCUUGCAACCCCACCCCCAUUCCAAUAACAGUCUUCAGAUUUGGGGAAUCUUCCUUGGAAGGGGAGUACUUAAGUUGGGACAGAUGGUCUCCUCUUCUUGACAGUUUCCAUGUCAGG